CCGAGAAAAGCUGCUAUCGUGUAAUGCGUGCCCGUACCGUAAACCGACACAGGUGGAUGAGGAGAGAAUCCUAAGGCCGACGGAAGAAGCAUUGUUAAGGAAUUCGGCAAAAUGACCCCGUAACUUCGGGAGAAGGGGUGCCUGCGAGAGCAGGCCGCAGAGAAUAGGCUCAAGCAACUGUUUAGCAAAAACACAGGUCUAUGCGAAACCGAAAGGUGAAGUAUAUGGGCUGACGCCUGCCCGGUGCUGGAAGGUUAAGAGGAGAGGUUAGCGUAAGCGAAGCCUUGAAUUUAAGCCCCAGUAAACGGCGGCCGUAACGAUAACGGUCCUAAGGUAGCGAAAUUCCUUGUCGGGUAAGUUCCGACCCGCACGAAAGGCGUAAUGAUUUGAGCACUGUCUCGACAAUGCAUCCGGUGAAAUUGAAGUACCAGUGAAGAUGCUGGUUACCCGCGCCAGGACGGAAAGACCCCAUGGAGCUUUACUCCAGUUUGAUACUGGGAUUCGGUACUGCAUGUACAGGAUAGGUGGGAGACGAAGAAGGAUGGACGCCAGUCUGUCCGGAGUCGCUGUUGGGAUACCACCCCUGUAGUACUGGGUUUCUAACCAGUUGCCAUGAACUGGCAUGGGACAAUGUCAGGCGGGGAGUUUGACUGGGGCGGUCGCCUCCGAAAGGGUAUCGGAGGCGCUCAAAGGUUCCCUCAGAAUGGUUGGAAACCAUUUGAAGAGUGCAAAGGCAGAAGGGAGCUUGACUGCGACACCGACGGGUGGAGCAGGUACGAAAGUAGGACUUAGUGAUCCGGUGGUAUAAAGUGGGAUUGCCAUCGCUCAACUGAUAAAAGCUACCCUGGGAUAACAGGCUUAUCACUCCCAAGAGUUCACAUCGACGGAGUGGUUUGGCACCUCGAUGUCGGCUCAUCGCAUCCUGGGGCUGUAGCAGGUCCCAAGGGUUGGGCUGUUCGCCCAUUAAAGCGGUACGCGAGCUGGGUUCAGAACGUCGUGAGACAGUUCGGUCCCUAUCCGGCGCGGGCGGAGGAUAUUUGAGAGGAGCUGUCCUUAGUACGAGAGGACCGGGAUGGACGGACCACUGGUGUAUCUGUUGUCGACCAACGGCAUGGCAGAGUAGACAAGUCUGGAAGGGAUAAACGCUGAAGGCAUCUAAGCGUGAAGCCCCCCUCAAGAUGAGAUAUCCCUCCUUCGGGAGUAAGACCCCUUGAAGACUACAAGGUAGAUAGGGCAGAGGUGGAAGCAUGGCAACAUGUGGAGCUGACUGUUACUAAUAGGUCGAGGGCUUAAUC
rnacentral:rRNA from 1 species